GAAAGUGAUCUAUCACGUAUCGUAUAGAUCUUACUUCAAUGUGGAGCCGUUUCAGUCCGUUGUAAUCCUCGUAGAUGAAUACAUAACCUAAUUAUAUGCUGUAUACGUAAUAAAAAGCAAAAGUCAGAAGAAGCUGCAAUCUGGACUGUGGAUCAACCUCCUUUUUUUUUCUGAUCAACACAAAG